GAGCCGCCGCUUGGAGGGGAGCUGCGAAACGAUCGCAGCGCGCGGGGUGGCGAGUAGUGAGUUGAGCCAGCGUGUGUUGUGAUAGCAUUUUGUAUGAGAAACAAUAGACGGUAUGUGGAAUUACACUUGUUGUGCUGUUAACUGCGAAAAUAACGGUAAAACUAGUGAUUGUAUAUUUUACAAGUUUCCAACUGCAUCACAUAAAAUAGUUCAAAGGCAAAAAUGGAUUGCUGCUGUGAAAAGAAAAAAAAAAAAUCAGAUGAUCCUGCGAGUCCAAGCUACGCGCCAACUCUAUUCCCUCCAGUUUA
rnacentral:lncRNA from 1 species